rnacentral:rRNA from 1 species
UACGUAGGGUGCAAGCGUUGUCCGGCAUUAUUGGGCGUAUUGAGCUCGUAGGCGGUCUGUCGCGUCGGAUGUGAAAACCCAGGGCUCAACCCUGGGCCUGCAUUCGAUACGGGCAGACUAGAGUUCGGUAGGGGAGACUGGAAUUCCUGGUGUAGCGGUGAAAUGCGCAGAUAUCAGGAGGAACACCGGUGGCGAAGGCGGGUCUCUGGGCCGAAACUGACGCUGAGGAGCGAAAGCGUGGGGAGCAAACAGG